AUCUCCAAGUCGGAACUGGUGCUGUUUGAUCUGCUCAUUGUGAUGCAGUGGAGGGCAGCGAGUCCAGGGAACGAGCCUCCUUGGAAUUAAACCGCCUCUCUAAUAUGAUUACAAAUGGCUGUUAACCCUCAUAUCAACAUGCUGUCUAGGGGAGGGGGGAGAGAAUGAGAUGUGAAAGUCCCACCCCUCACUGAUAAAUGAAAAUGAGGAGUGCUCUUUACUAGAAAUAAUUAGGCUUCCCUAGCUCCUGAAAAGUGCUUUGAAGAAGAGAAACGUGCUAGAAAUGCUGCAGGUGCCAGCACCACUGCUCCCAGUGCUGUUCUUGCUCAGCAGAAACGUCAGGCAGGCUGUACAGAAAAGAAGAGAGCUGUACCAGAGCAAGCUUGGCUUGGUUCCCACUGUCAGUUUGGUUCCCUCCACCAACAAUCAACCAGGACAGAAGCAUCUGCUUCAUUUGGAAAGGCUCUUAAGCUUCAUCUGUGCACCCCAACACAACAGCCAUGAGCCUUUACCCCCCAAACUGUGA